CGGUGUUGUUUUUGUCGUGGCUAUGUCGUGGCCAUGGCGAACAAAUGUCGAAAAAGUUGUUAGCUUUUUUCUCCGUGUUCGAGUGUUUUUACGGAUCACAUUCAACCAUAUUUUUAAUAUGUAAUAAGUUCUCUCUUGACAAUUACGUAAAUGGUACUUCCAAAACAGCUGAGUUAAUCAAGUAGUGAUCAUUGUUGCAUUCCCAACAAAGAGCAUGCAGCAAACUUCAGAAAAAGAAAAACAGAGAUUUGGCUUAAUAGAUUGAAAAAAAUUUUUUCAAAGAAAAAGUAAAAGGGCAAUAACACGAUCGACUAAGUUCUUUGUUUAUUUACCCGUUGGCUGCUAGCCUGCUACAUUGAAUUUCCCUCUUUGACUUCGGGCAUGCUUCGGGCCCGCUCUUUUGAUUCGAGGUUAUUCCUGCGCCGCUAUUCAAUAGAUUGAAUCCUUUGAACCUGACGUGCUAUCAUUAGCCAUACUGCUCACUUGCCUCUUUCGUCGCUCCGAGGCAUGGGGGCUGGGGCUGUUCAGCCUGUUCCAGCUACGCGGCCAGCAUCAUUCAACUACCCAACCGACUUGUACUACCCCUGCUCUAAACAUAGCACGGAAUUUUCAUCUUCAGAUUGUUUGGCCGGUGUUCGAUGUGUGAUGGCGUUUCCUUGACGACGACGAGAUGCUGAUUUUGGGGACGAGAAUAUUAAGUUCUAAACUACAGGUUUCUAAAUUUGCAUGACAGACUUUAUGAGAAGCCUUGUCCUUUGAAGAAAACGGACAAUGACUAUACAGUCAACAAGGUCCCUUGUUUGGUAACUCGUUGGCUGCUACCCUUUUAACUUCCUUAAACGGGCCCUCUUGAUUUAAGGGUAACUCCUUCGACCUUCACUACUAAUCGUGGACUUCAUCGAUUGGUGAAAACUGACGAGAGAAUGCUGUGAUUCAAGACUGAUUAGUUGUGUAGUUGAUAGAUAAAUAACAAGUGCAUAUCUGGGCUCCCUUCUUUUCUGUGGCCCCGUUUCCCUAACUAACCACUAACCAACGCCCGCCGGUGGUCACUCACCCGCUGUGAAACCAGGAGGAGGGGAGGGCUCUGGU